GUUUUCAUUAGAAUGUAUCACUGGUGAACUUUCUGUGGAGGAACCAAACUGAUCAUCAAAGCUGGGGCCAGCUAUGAUGCAGCACCCCUGGAGCACAGCCUGCUGUCUGCCUACUCUCCACAGGGGGCGCUGGUGAGCUGGACGGUGGACGGCUCAGAGGUGAAGGACGGGGUUCUGACCAGCCCAGAAGAACACAAGAAGGACGGUUACACACGCAGCAGCACCCUGACCCUCAGCAAAGAACUGUGGGAAAAGGGGGAGGAGUUUGUCUGUACCGUCUCCCAUGGUGGUGUCCAUCAUCCGCUCACGUUCAGAAAGAGCCAGUGUUAAGACCAACAGCUCCAAGAUAGAACUGAACACUGAGCUGCUCACACAUCCAUCUACAAUCGAGUUUCAAUUCUACACAAUGCUGACAUUUCUGUCUUUCCUCUCUUCACUGUCCUGUUGCUCUUCCUGUAGUUUUGCUCUGCUGAAAUAAAGCUUCAUUUUGGA